CCUACGGGAGGCAGCAGUGAGGAAUAUUGGUCAAUGGGCGGAAGCCUGAACCAGCCAAGCCGCGUGCGGGAAGAAGGUACUGAGUAUUGUAAACUUCUUUUGUCAGGGGACAAAGGCGGCUACGGGUGGCCGUAUGAGGGUAACUGGAGACAAAGCAUCGGCUAACUCCGUGCCAGCAGCCGCGGUAAUACGGAGGAUGCGAGCGUUAUCCGGAUUUAUUGGGUUUAAAGGGUGCGCAGGCGGCGUGUCAAGUCAGCGGUAAAAUGUCGGGGCUCAACUCCGGCCGGCCGUUGAAACUGGCGUGCUCGAGUAGGAGAGAAGAAGGCGGAAUUCGUGGUGUAGCGGUGAAAUGCAUAGAUAUCACGAAGAACCCCGAUUGCGAAGGCAGCAUACCGGCUCCACACUGACGCUGAGGCACGAAAGCGUGGGUAUCGAACAGGAUUAGAUACCCCUGGUAGUC
rnacentral:rRNA from 1 species